GGAGGGGACAGCUCGAGCGGCAGAGCGUGUGCUUAGCAGGCACAAGGUCCUGGGUUCAAUCCCCAGUACCUCCU
rnacentral:tRNA from 1 species